ensembl:snRNA LOC120098003 U2 spliceosomal RNA
AUCCCUUCUCUGCCUUUUGGCUAAGAUCAAGUGUAGAGUUCACAGUCAGAAUAAUCCAUGUUUUUGUUUCCACAAGACAAGUGCUUUACUUGUGAAGAUACUGUCUGGGGCAUUUUGGGGGGUGGUAUUUCUUUUAAACCUUUGGAAAAUACUUAAA